rnacentral:rRNA from 1 species
AUUGAACGCUGGCGGCAUGCCUUACACAUGCAAGUCGAACGGUAACGCGGGGCAACCUGGCGACGAGUGGCGAACGGGUGAGUAAUGCAUCGGAACGUGCCCAACAGUGGGGGAUAGCCCGGCGAAAGCCGGAUUAAUACCGCAUACGACCUGAGGGUGAAAGCGGGGGAUCGCAAGACCUCGCGCUGAUGGAGCGGCCGAUGUCAGAUUAGGUUGUUGGUGGGGUAAAGGCCUACCAAGCCGACGAUCUGUAGCUGGUCUGAGAGGACGACCAGCCACACUGGGACUGAGACACGGCCCAGACUCCUACGGGAGGCAGCAGUGGGGAAUUUUGGACAAUGGGGGCAACCCUGAUCCAGCCAUGCCGCGUGCGGGAAGAAGGCCUUCGGGUUGUAAACCGCUUUUGUCGGGGAAGAAAUCCUUCGAGCUAAUACCUUGGGGGGAUGACGGUACCCGAAGAAUAAGCACCGGCUAACUACGUGCCAGCCGCCGCUGUAACAC